rnacentral:lncRNA from 1 species
AACUCAUCUUCAUGCCACCAACCAGGUGAUGAAAUGUACAACCCGUACUCUCCUUCAUGCCACCAACCAGGUGAUGAAAUGUAUAACCCGUACUCUAAUAUCAUUUGGCAACUUGCCACUCAUGCCACCAACCAGGUGAAGAAGGAACUUAUCUUCAUGCCACCAACCAGGUGAUGAAAUGUACAACCCGUACUCUCCUUCAUGCCACCAACCAGGUGAUGAAAUGUACAACCCGUACUCUAAUAUCAUUUGGCAACUUGCCA